GUGGUGGUGACGAUGAUGCGCGCGUGAUUAAGGCGGCGACGGCGGUGACGAUGACAGCGAUGAAGGCGAGUCGGCGUGCUGCUGCUCGUCGUCGUUCGCCUAAAGGGCCGUUCGUCGCAGACGCAUGCUCGCGGCACGUCGCAGCCUCUCGCACUGACCGCACGUAACACGUAAGAGAGAGGAAUGAGAAGCCGGUAACGCGGUUGGAUCACAGGAGAAGUCAUCUUAAAUAAUGAGGUGUUUACCAUUUUUUAAAAAUGGAUCACGGUAUACAAAAAUUUGAGAAACACUGCUUUACAAUUGUUUAAUUUUGUUGCAAUCUAAAAUAGAGUCACUGUACUGAUCAAUAAAUAAAUAAAAAA